rnacentral:rRNA from 1 species
GACGAACGCUGGCGGCGUGCUUAACACAUGCAAGUCGAACGGGGUUAAGGAGCUUGCUUCUUAACUUAGUGGCGAACGGGUGAGUAACGCGUGAGGAACCUGCCUUUCAGUGGGGGACAACAGUUGGAAACGACUGCUAAUACCGCAUAAAACCGUAGUACCGCAUGGUACAUCGGUCAAAGAUUUAUUGCUGAAAUAUGGCCUCGCGUCUGAUUAGCUAGUUGGUGGGGUAAUGGCCCACCAAGGCGACGAUCAGUAGCCGGACGGAGAGGUUGACCGGCCACAUUGGGACUGAGAUACGGCCCAGACUCCGACGGGAGGCAGCAGUGGUGAAUAUUGGGCAAUGGGCGAAAGCCUGGCCCAGCAACGCCGCGUGAAGGAAGAAGGCCUUCGGGUUGUAAACUUCUUUUACCAGGGACGAACACAAUGACGGUACCUGGAGAAAAAGCAACGGCUAACUACGUGCCAGCCGCCGCCGUAAGAC